GCUGGACCCCCUUGAUUCUGAUAUUUUUGGCAUGAGGACCCCUGCAAGGUAGGCUACAGGACUCCAAAUUGAGCAUGACUAGAUCCUACAAAAUUUUGAGACAAGCAAGAAAAGAAUGUAGUUUAUAGAAGUCAAUUUGGAUUUUAGAUGAGGUAGCUACAUCAAAUUAAAAUUGGUGAUAGUGUUGGACAAAAUAGGAAAUGCUCGAUACACCUAGAUUCUUCCUAGUUU
rnacentral:lncRNA from 1 species